ACGAACGCUGGCGGCGUGCUUAACACAUGCAAGUCGAACGAAGAGCGAUGGAAGCUUGCUUCUAUCAAUCUUAGUGGCGACCGGGUGAGUAACGCGUAAUCAACCUGCCCUUCAGAGGGGGACAACAGUUGGAAACGACUGCUAAUACCGCAUACGAUCCAAUCUCGGCAUCGGGACUGGAUGAAAGGUGGCCUCUAUUUAUAAGCUAUCACUGAAGGAGGGGAUUGCGUCUGAUUAGCUAGUUGGAGGGGUAACGGCCCACCAAGGCGAUGAUCAGUAGCCGGUCUGAGAGGAUGAACGGCCACAUUGGGACUGAGACACGGCCCAGACUCCUACGGGAGGCAGCAGUGGGGAAUCUUCCGCAAUGGACGAAAGUCUGACGGAGCAACGCCGCGUGAGUGAUGACGGCCUUCGGGUUGUAAAGCUCUGUUAAUCGGGACGAAUGGUUCUUGUGCGAAUAGUGCGAGGAUUUGACGGUACCGGAAUAGAAAGCCACGGCUAACUACGUG
rnacentral:rRNA from 1 species